UUUAUCAACGAGGAGGAUCUGCCAUUUGCAGUGGUUCCGCAAGAGUGGCUCAGCGAGAGCAUGUGCCAUUGGCCCCCAUUUAACCUCAGCAAAAAGACGAAGGCAACAAUUUAGCCAUCCUCUGCACACCUCCACACAGCACCUGGGAGAAACAUCAUUUUAAGUUCAUGAAGGGAGCAGAAUCUUGGAAGUCUCAAGAAAAAAAACUCUAGAAAGAUGCAUCGAUUCCAGAAAACCAGGAAAAUGCUGAACUGGUUUCUCCCCAGUAAUCCAGACUCCACUUCACAGAGCCAAGAGUUUGAGUACAAGUAAGUGAUGUUAUUUGUGAAGUUUUUUUGUCUUGGAAACUAUUGCUUCUAUUUGAAGUCGGCAUGAACCGGAAGUUACAAACGACUUUUCUCCAGUGUUGUGACGUAUUUAAAAAUGAAACAGUAUAUUGAACGGAGGGCAGGGUUUUACUCUAGCGCUCCUCUUCUCCAUCUCUGCUCAUAGCACGGUUUGAGGGGAGUUGCCACGCCCUCGCGCCAUAGCACAUGACCGGAAGAGAAGAGAAGUCGUUUCGAGGGGGGAGGGAAGGGUAACGUAUUUGAUUAAAGAUUAUAAGGCUACAUGAAUUUUAAAAGAAUAAUGAAGUGCACAGAUAAAUCAUUUAUAAUAAACACUACAAUA